UACGUAGGGGGCUAGCGUUGUCCGGAAUCAUUGGGCGUAAAGCGCGUGUAGGCGGUUCGGUAAGUCCGCUGUGAAAGUCGGGGGCUCAACCCUCGGAUGCCGGUGGAUACUGUCGGGCUUGAGUACGGAAGAGGCGGGUGGAAUUCCUGGUGUAGCGGUGAAAUGCGCAGAUAUCAGGAGGAACACCGAUUGCGAAGGCAGCUCGCUGGGACGUUACUGACGCUGAGACGCGAAAGCGUGGGGAGCAAACAGG
rnacentral:rRNA from 1 species